rnacentral:rRNA from 1 species
AGAGUUUGAUCAUGGCUCAGAUUGAACGCUGGCGGCAUGCCUUACACAUGCAAGUCGAACGGCAGCACGGGGGCAACCCUGGUGGCGAGUGGCGAACGGGUGAGUAACAUAUCGGAACGUGCCCUGGAGUGGGGGAUAACUAGUCGAAAGACUAGCUAAUACCGCAUACGAUCUACGGAUGAAAGUGGGGGAUCGCAAGACCUCAUGCUCGUGGAGCGGCCGAUAUCUGAUUAGCUAGUUGGUGGGAUAAAAGCUUACCAAGCCGACGAUCUGUAGCUGGUCUGAGAGGACGACCAGCCACACUGGGACUGAGACACGGCCCAGACUCCUACGGGAGGCAGCAGUGGGGAAUUUUGGACAAUGGGCGAAAGCCUGAUCCAGCCAUGCCGCGUGCAGGAUGAAGGCCUUCGGGUUGUAAACUGCUUUUGUACGGAACGAAAAGACUCCUUCUAAUAAAGGGGGUUCAUGACGGUACCGUAAGAAUAAGCACCGGCUAACUACGUGCCAGCAGCCGCGGUAAUACGUAGGGUGCAAGCGUUAAUCGGAAUUACUGGGCGUAAAGCGUGCGCAGGCGGUUAUAUAAGACAGAUGUGAAAUCCCCGGGCUCAACCUGGGAACUGCAUUUGUGACUGUAUAGCUAGAGUACGGCAGAGGGGGAUGGAAUUCCGCGUGUAGCAGUGAAAUGCGUAGAUAUGCGGAGGAACACCGAUGGC